rnacentral:rRNA from 1 species
AACGAACGCUGGCGGCAUGCCUAACACAUGCAAGUCGAACGAGACCUUCGGGUCUAGUGGCGCACGGGUGCGUAACGCGUGGGAAUCUGCCCUUGGGUUCGGAAUAACAGUUAGAAAUGACUGCUAAUACCGGAUGAUGUCUUCGGACCAAAGAUUUAUCGCCCAAGGAUGAGCCCGCGUAGGAUUAGGUAGUUGGUGGGGUAAUGGCCCACCAAGCCGACGAUCCUUAGCUGGUCUGAGAGGAUGAUCAGCCACACUGGGACUGAGACACGGCCCAGACUCCUACGGGAGGCAGCAGUGGGGAAUAUUGGACAAUGGGCGAAAGCCUGAUCCAGCAAUGCCGCGUGAGUGAUGAAGGCCUUAGGGUUGUAAAGCUCUUUUACCAGGGAUGAUAAUGACAGUACCUGGAGAAUAAGCUCCGGCUAACUCCGUGCCAGCAGCCGCGGUAA